rnacentral:rRNA from 2 species
GAAGCGGCAACAGCUCAAAUUUGAAAUCUGGCUCUUUCAGAGUCCGAGUUGUAAUUUGCAGAGGGCGCUUUGGCGUUGGCAGCGGUCCAAGUUCCUUGGAACAGGACGUCACAGAGGGUGAGAAUCCCGUACGUGGUCGCUGGCCUUCGCCGUGUAAAGCCCCUUCGACGAGUCGAGUUGUUUGGGAAUGCAGCUCUAAAUGGGAGGUAAAUUUCUUCUAAAGCUAAAUACUGGCCAGAGACCGAUAGCGCACAAGUAGAGUGAUCGAAAGAUGAAAAGCACUUUGGAAAGAGAGUCAAAUAGCACGUGAAAUUGUUGAAAGGGAAGCGCUUGCAGCCAGACUUGCCUGUAGUUGCUCAUCCGGGCUUUUGCCCGGUGCACUCUUCUGCGGGCAGGCCAGCAUCAGUUUGGGCGGUUGGAUAAAGGUCUCUGUCAUGUACCUCUCUUCGGGGAGGCCUUAUAGGGGAGACGUCAUACAACCAGCCUGGACUGAGGUCCGCGCAUUUAUGCUAGGAUGCUGGCGUAAUGGCUGUAAGCGGCCCGUCUUGAAACACGGACCAAGGAGUCUAACAUCUAUGCGAGUGUUUGGGUGUCAAGCCCGAACGCGUAAUGAAAGUGAACGGAGGUGGGACCCCAUUAGGGUGCACCAUCGACCGAUCCUGAUGUCUUCGGAUGGAUUUGAGUAAGAGCAUGGCUGUUGGGACCCGAAAGAUGGUGAACUAUGC